CAAGAAAAGGUCAGGAUAGCUCAGUUGGUA
rnacentral:tRNA from 2 species